rnacentral:rRNA from 1 species
CCUACGGGAGGCAGCAGUGAGGAAUAUUGGACAAUGGGCGCAAGCCUGAUCCAGCCAUGCCGCGUGCAGGAAGAAGCAUCUAUGGUGUGUAAACUGCUUUUGUACAGGAAGAAACACUCCCUCGUGAGGGAGCUUGACGGUACUGUAAGAAUAAGGGCCGGCUAACUCCGUGCCAGCAGCCGCGGUAAUACGGAGGGUCCGAGCGUUAUCCGGAAUCAUUGGGUUUAAAGGGUCCGUAGGCGGUUUAAUAAGUCAGUGGUGAAAUCUGGUCGCUCAACGAUCAAACGGCCAUUGAUACUGUUAGACUUGAAUUAUAAGGAAGUAACUAGAAUAUGUAGUGUAGCGGUGAAAUGCUUAGAUAUUACAUGGAAUACCAAUUGCGAAGGCAGGUUACUACUUAUGGAUUGACGCUGAUGGACGAAAGCGUGGGGAGCGAACAGGAUUAGAUACCCUGGUAGUCCACGCCGUAAACGAUGGAUACUAGCUGUUCGGAGCAAUCUGAGUGGCUAAGCGAAAGUGAUAAGUAUCCACCUGGGGAGUAACGUUCGCAAGAAUGAAACUUNAAAGAUUAGUUCGCGNGNGAGAGCGACGACGACGACGACGGAGGAGGAG